GUUUUGCCCGAGCCGAGUGCUCUGUACUAUUCACAAGAAGGUUACAGUAAAACAAAACAAGUUAUAGUUAUUUUAUUUUUAUAAGAAAUCUUUUCAUUUUUACAAUAAUUGUGUCGAGUGUUUAUAAUACAUACAUACAGAAAUCACGAGUGUAUCACAAUUGGGGUCAGAGGCAACCACUACCAGGAAUCAGCCAUAGAAAACUUGGAUGCGGGAAAGUGCAACAUCAACGGGGAUAAAUUAUUAAUAUUUGUACAAUUAUAAACUACCUAGACAUAAUUAUACAUACUCAAUAUCUUCAUGUUAAACAGGAAAACAGAUAAAGGAAUAUUGUUGUAAAAUCGAUAAAUAGUGACGCAACAUUAGCUAGCUGACUGAAACGCAUCACCUUAAAGGCGUACUAUUUAUUGUUUGGGACAAAAUUUUCCUAAUUAACUUUAACGGAAAGUGAAAAAGACAGGUAUAACUUAAAAUAAAAUUAGGAGAUGACUGCAGGAAUCGGG